rnacentral:lncRNA from 1 species
UCUCUGUUCUUUGGUUAUGAAACAAUUGGUCCAAUUGAUGAUUUUGGUCUUUUCAAUUGUUUGGAACAAUAUGGUCAAGAAGCAAAGAAAGGUGAAAUAGUAGUAGGUACAACACCACAGGAAAACAAAGUUGGAUUUAAGGUGAGUUGCUUCAACUGAAUUUAUUGCUUUCGCGUUGAUAUAUGUUACAUCUAUACUAUGGAUAUUCUAACAUUUACUUGGACAAGUGAGUCAGUUCAAGUAGUUGAACAUAUCCACCAAAAGAGAGAGGAUUUGAAUCACGCUGAAGGAUAAGUAAGAAUGUUAAGAAGAUACUUUUCUCCGUCUCAAUCUAUAUAAUGUAAUUUGACUGACCAUGAAAUUCAGAAAAGAAAAGACUUUUUUUAGUUCACAUUUCUUUCAUUUAAUUGAAUGUAUGUGCAUCAUUCUUGCUUUUUCUAAAAAAAAUCUCAAGUUAGUGGCCAUUUGGGCAUUAGAAUUGAGGAAUUUGAAAAAAAAAAAAAAUUCUUUCUAUUUGAAUUUGUUUGUCUCAAAAAUAAUGAUUAUUUCUUUUUUAGCAAAUUUUUUAAAUUUCAACUCAGUUUUUACCUAACAUGUUGAAAGUCAAAUGAAAUACGUAAUAUUUAUGAAAAAAGUGAAAAGUACUUAUUUUGCCUGUACAGAGCAAGACUUCCAAGAAAAGGGGGAGAAAGGGGAGAGAGAUUUGCGAGACACAAGGAAACCACGUAGAGGCGGA